AUGGAGGCGAAGAAGAGAGCGGCCGCCGUUGCCGCCCUGUGCUUGCUCCUCCUGCUCACCCUGCCAAAGCCAUCCCAUCAGCAGCUGUCCGAGGUCAAGUGCGAGUGCUACCAGAAGUGCUACCCUGGGUGCAAGAACAGCACCCCUCCGUGGCUCUGCAAGGUGAUGUGCGCCUGUAGCUGCCCCUUCUUCGACGACGUCUUCGACCCCCUUCGCACCUGUUUCAACGCCUGCAACACGGACUCCAUCUGUGACCUGCCAGCGUCGUUGGCCGAUCCCGAAGCUUGUGUCGAUGAGUGCUACAAUGUGUGGGGCGCCCCUGGUCCCGAUCCAGACAAGGAACAUUGA
rnacentral:rRNA from 1 species